GGGAGAGCUAGGCUGGCGCGCUAGUCCUGCGUUGUGACCGUGAAUGGACUUCACACGGAGCCGAAGCCCAAGGAAGGCCCAGUUUGGUUUUGCUGGUCCUUACAGUCUUUGACGACGGUUUGUCCCCUGGGAUGGGCUUGCUGGGAACCAGGUCAGGUCCGGAAGGAAGCAGCCUUAACCUGCAAUCUUCAUGUUCGGGGGAGCGCAAAUCCGAGAAGCUGUAGGGAUUCACCAGCAGAGCUUGGCUGGUUCGACUGCGGGCGUGCCCC
rnacentral:SRP_RNA from 1 species